GACGAACGCUGGCGGCGUGCCUAAUACAUGCAAGUCGAACGCAGUGGGGACGGGUGAGUAACACGUGGGUAACCUCCCAUCAGAGGGGAUAACACUUGGAAACAGGUGCUAAACCGAUACUGCAGGAGGGACCCGCGGUGCAGUAGCUAGUUGGUGAGGUAACGGCUCACCAAGGCCACGAUGCAUAGCCGAUCUGAGAUGGUGAUAGGCCAAACUGGGACUAAGACGCGGCCCGGACUCCUACGGUAGGCAGGAGUAGGUAUACUUCGGCAAUGGACGAAAGUCUGACCGAGCAAAGCCUCGUGAGUGAAGAAGGUUUUCGGAGCGUAAAACUCUGUUGUUAGAGAAGGGUUCUCUAACCAGAAAGGCACGGCUAACUACGUGCCAGCAGCCGCGGUAAUAC
rnacentral:rRNA from 1 species